rnacentral:snRNA from 1 species
UGGCCGCGGCUGGCGUCUAUUGCGAACACGUUUUUCGCCUUUUACUAAAAACGUCCCCUCCGUCCAAGUCGAUCUUAACGGCCUUUUCGAAUUUUUGCAACCGACUUUGUGUCACU